CCUACGGGAGGCAGCAGUGGGGAAUAUUGCGCAAUGGGCGAAAGCCUGAUGCAGCGACGCCGCGUGAGGGAUGAAGGUCUUCGGAUCGUAAACCUCUGUCAGCAGGGAAGAACGGUCACUGUGCUAAUCAGCAGUGAAUUGACGGUACCUGCAAAGGAAGCACAGGCUAACUCCGUGCCAGCAGCCGCGGUAAUACGGAGGGUGCGAGCGUUAAUCGGACUUACUGGGCGUAAAGCUCUCGUAGGCGGUAUGUCAAGUCAAGGGUGAAAUCCCCGCGCUCAACGUGGGAACUGCCUUUGAAACUGGCAAACUGGAGUGUGUGAGAGGGUAGUGGAAUUCCAGGUGUAGGAGUGAAAUCCGUAGAUAUCUGGAGGAACAUCAGUGGCGAAGGCGACUAUCUGGCACAUAACUGACGCUGAGGAGCGAAAGCGUGGGUAGCAAACAGGAUUAGAUACCCUAGUAGUC
rnacentral:rRNA from 1 species